GCAUUUUUCUUUCUCUUUCUGGCUCACUUCACUUAGAAUGAUGAUCUCCAGGUCUAUCCAUGUUGCUGCAAAUGGCAUUAUUUUAAUGUUUUUUAUGGCUGAGUAGUAUUCCAUUAAGUAAAAUAGAAAUGUCAAAUCUAGCCAGUUGCCACACCAGAGCACAAGCACCAUGCAUGUCUUCAGCCUCUCUCACCACCCCAUUUUUAACUGUGUUUUGUUGCUUCUCCAUCUUAAAUAUCUCUGGACGGCAUCUCCAGUGCAGCUCCAUGCUGAGAAGCCCUCUAGCACGUCUGCCCUGGAUGAGCGCAGCAGGAUCCUACCUGGUUUCCAACUUCUAACAUGGUCUGAAUCCAAUCCAGGGUGGGAUUGCUUGCUCUCAGGCCCACAUCCAGUGGCUUGUUGUGGACUGGGAGCUUCGUACUCCAGCCCCUUCUUUCUUGGGCAUCCUCUCUCCUGCUGUCUCUGGAUCGUUCUAAGAACAGUGAACUGCAUCAGCCUUUCCCCCAGACUGCCCCACACACUGUUCCACCCAGUACCCUUCCCCGUGCCUCUUGCUCUUCAGGUCUCGGAGACUUCCAUGACUCCCUGAUACCAUGGACUCUGCUAAUGAAAGCAUUUUGUCUACUUGACUAUCUUCCCCCAGGAAGUAUGUUUUGUGAGUGCAGGAAUCAUGUUUGCUUGUCCAUCUUAGAUCCCCUGGAAUCUAACAUUAUACCUAGAACAUAAGAGGCACUCACUAAGUAUUUGGUGAAUGAAUUAAACUGUGUUUGUAUAAAUCAGUCCUUCACAAUUGAAAAAAAAAGCUCAAAGUCACAUGGCACAAAAUGGAUGGCAGCAGCCAACAGCAACCAUGACCAGCUGGCUUGAAUAAAGCCCUGGGCUGUGUCUGAAACUGUGCCCUGUGCGCUGUUUACAAAAUUACAAACUCAUGCUCUGAACAGUCUCCUCUGACUUCUCAGUAUUUUCAACAACGGCAGCUUCUCAGAAUCUGACCCACUGAGGUCUGGGGCUGGGCCUGGAGCUCCCAGAGGAGGAGAAACCCCGCCUGGGAUCCUAUUUUGUGUGUUGCCUCUACGUUCUUCAGUGCAGGAGCUUCAGACUCACCUUGUGCACGGCCCAGCUUCUACAUUGGAAAUGGGAUCUUAAAAGCGAAAUUCUGAAACUAUUUUCCUUUUCUUUCCAUAGAAAUAAUCAUACCUGGUUUCCGAGUUGUUCUCCAGGAAGAAGGUCACAGAACUGUAACCUUACAAAACAGCCUGAAUCACCAGAAGACCAUGCUGUGGGCACUUACAGAUAAAGAGAUCAAAAGAGUGGCAACCGCCAGCCUCUACAGAAUCAAUCACCUGGAAACACCAUGACACCACUCUGAGCCGCAUAAGGAAAAAAUUCUGUUGAUUGUUAUCGAUGUCUUCUUGUUUAAGCUGUCGCUAUGUAAUCAUCCUGCCCCAUCCCCAAGAUGGGUUCACCGUUUUGAAGGCACCAGCUUGCUGUGAGCCCCCUUGGCCUGGCAAAGCAAUAAACCUGUCUCUUCUGCGCUCUAA